rnacentral:rRNA from 1 species
UCAAGCGAACAAGUGCAUGUGGUGGAUGCCUUGGCGAUCACAGGCGAUGAAGGACGCGGUAGCCUGCGAAAAGCCCCGGGGAGCUGGCAAACAAGCUUUGAUCCGGGGAUGUCCGAAUGGGGAAACCCACUCCGUAUGGAGUAUCCAUGACUGAAUACAUAGGUCAUGUGAAGCGAACGCGGUGAACUGAAACAUCUAAGUAACCGCAGGAAAAGAAAUCAACCGAGAUUCCCAAAGUAGUGGCGAGCGAAAUGGGAUGAGCCUUGUACUCUUUAUUCGUAUUGUUAGCCGAACGCUCUGGAAAGUGCGGCCAUAGCAGGUGAUAGCCCUGUAGGCGAAAACAGUAUGAAAGAACUAGGUGUACGACAAGUAGGGCGGGACACGUGAAAUCCUGUCUGAAGAUGGGGGGACCAUCCUCCAAGGCUAAAUACUCGUGAUCGACCGAUAGUGAACCAGUACCGUGAGGGAAAGGCGAAAAGAACCCCGGGAGGGGAGUGAAAUAGAUCCUGAAACCGCAUGCAUACAAACAGUCGGAGCCUCGUAAGGGGUGACGGCGUACCUUUUGUAUAAUGGGUCAGCGACUUACGUUCAGUAGCAAGCUUAACCGUAUAGGGCAGGCGUAGCGAAAGCGAGUCCGAAUAGGGCGUUCAGUUGCUGGGCGUAGACCCGAAACCAGGUGAUCUAUCCAUGGCCAGGAUGAAGGUGCGGUAACACGUACUGGAGGUCCGAACCCACUAACGUUGAAAAGUUAGGGGAUGAGCUGUGGAUAGGGGUGAAAGGCUAAACAAACCUGGAAAUAGCUGGUUCUCUCCGAAAACUAUUUAGGUAGUGCCUCGUGUCUCACCUUCGGGGGUAGAGCACUGUCAUGGUUGGGGGGUCUAUUGCAGAUUACCCCGCCAUAGCAAACUCCGAAUACCGAAGAGUGCAAUCACGGGAGACAGACAUCGGGUGCUAACGUCCGGUGUCAAGAGGGAAACAACCCAGACCGCCAGCUAAGGUCCCCAAAUAUGGCUAAGUGGGAAACGAAGUGGGAAGGCUAAAACAGUCAGGAGGUUGGCUUAGAAGCAGCCACCCUUUAAAGAAAGCGUAAUAGCUCACUGAUCGAGUCGUCCUGCGCGGAAGAUGUAACGGGGCUAAGCCAUAUACCGAAGCUGCGGAUGCGUGCUUGCACGCAUGGUAGGAGAGCGUUCCGUAAGCCUGCGAAGGUGCCUUGUAAAGGGUGCUGGAGGUAUCGGAAGUGCGAAUGCUGACAUGAGUAGCGAUAAAGGGGGUGAAAGGCCCCCUCGCCGUAAGCCCAAGGUUUCCUACGCAACGUUCAUCGGCGUAGGGUGAGUCGGCCCCUAAGGCGAGGCAGAAAUGCGUAGCUGAUGGGAAGCAGGUCAAUAUUCCUGCACCGUCGUUAGAUGCGAUGGGGGGACGGAUCGCGGAAGGUUGUCCGGGUGUUGGACGUCCCGGUCGCUGCAUUGGAGAAGGCGCUUAGGCAAAUCCGGGCGCAGGAUUCAAGGGUGUGGCGCGAGCGACUUCGGUCGCGAAGCAAUUGGAAGUGGUUCCAAGAAAAGCCUCUAAGCUUCAGUCUAACGAUGACCGUACCGCAAACCGACACAGGUGGGCGAGAUGAGUAUUCUAAGGCGCUUGAGAGAACUCGGGAGAAGGAACUCGGCAAAUUGGUACCGUAACUUCGGGAUAAGGUACGCCCUUGUAGCUUGACCAGCCUGCGCUGGAAGGGUGAAGGGGUUGCAAUAAACUGGUGGCUGCGACUGUUUAAUAAAAACACAGCACUCUGCAAACACGAAAGUGGACGUAUAGGGUGUGACGCCUGCCCGGUGCCGGAAGAUUAAAUGAUGGGGUGCAAGCUCUUGAUUGAAGUCCCGGUAAACGGCGGCCGUAACUAUAACGGUCCUAAGGUAGCGAAAUUCCUUGUCGGGUAAGUUCCGACCUGCACGAAUGGCGUAACGAUGGCCACACUGUCUCCUCCCGAGACUCAGCGAAGUUGAAGUGUUUGUGAUGAUGCAAUCUACCCGCGGCUAGACGGAAAGACCCCAUGAACCUUUACUGUAGCUUUGCAUUGGACUUUGAACCGAUCUGUGUAGGAUAGGUGGGAGGCUAUGAAACCGGAACGCUAGUUUCGGUGGAGCCGUCCUUGAAAUACCACCCUGGUUUGUUUGAGGUUCUAACCUUGGUCCGUGAUCCGGAUCGGGGACAGUGCAUGGUAGGCAGUUUGACUGGGGCGGUCUCCUCCCAAAGGGUAACGGAGGAGUACGAAGGUACGCUAGGUACGGUCGGAAAUCGUGCUGAUAGUGCAAUGGCAUAAGCGUGCUUAACUGCGAGACCGACAAGUCGAGCAGGUGCGAAAGCAGGUCAUAGUGAUCCGGUGGUUCUGUAUGGAAGGGCCAUCGCUCAACGGAUAAAAGGUACUCUGGGGAUAACAGGCUGAUACCGCCCAAGAGUUCAUAUCGACGGCGGUGUUUGGCACCUCGAUGUCGGCUCAUCUCAUCCUGGGGCUGUAGCCGGUCCCAAGGGUAUGGCUGUUCGCCAUUUAAAGAGGUACGUGAGCUGGGUUUAAAACGUCGUGAGACAGUUUGGUCCCUAUCUGCCGUGGGCGUUGGAUAUUUGAAGGGGGCUGCUCCUAGUACGAGAGGACCGGAGUGGACGAACCUCUGGUGUACCGGUUGUGACGCCAGUCGCAUCGCCGGGUAGCUAUGUUCGGAAGAGAUAACCGCUGAAAGCAUCUAAGCGGGAAACUCGCCUUAAGAUGAGAUAUCCCUGGAGGCUUGACCUCCUUGAAGGGUCGUUCGAGACCAGGACGUUGAUAGGUCGGGUGUGUAAGCGCAGUAAUGCGUUCAGCUAACCGAUACUAAUUGCCCGUAAGGCUUGAUC